rnacentral:rRNA from 1 species
AUUGAACGCUGGCGGCAUGCCUUACACAUGCAAGUCGAACGGCAGCACGGGAGCAAUCCUGGUGGCGAGUGGCGAACGGGUGAGUAAUGUAUCGGAACGUACCUUUCAGUGGGGGAUAACGUAGCGAAAGUUACGCUAAUACCGCAUAUUCUGUGAGCAGGAAAGCAGGGGAUCGCAAGACCUUGCGCUGAUUGAGCGGCCGAUAUCAGACUAGCUAGUUGGUGAGGUAAAGGCUCACCAAGGCGACGAUCUGUAGCGGGUCUGAGAGGAUGAUCCGCCACACUGGAACUGAGACACGGUCCAGACUCCUACGGGAGGCAGCAGUGGGGAAUUUUGGACAAUGGGCGCAAGCCUGAUCCAGCCAUGCCGCGUGAGUGAAGAAGGCCUC